rnacentral:antisense_RNA from 1 species
GACCUCAUGACAUUGCUCACAUUGCUUCCAUUAUUUACCCGCACUGAGCGGGUAUUUUUUU